UGGAGGUUCUUCUCCAGCAGGUCCCACCAGUGCCACUGAGUCAUUUUAACAAUGUGCGUGUUUUGCUGAGGAAUAACCAAUUUGUCAAAUCACAUUAUAAUUUUUUUUCUUUUUGAUGCAGAAAAGACGUAAUUGUUUUCUUCCUUGAUUGCCUCUGCAGUCUCCAGUCGCAUGCAUUUCUCUACCUUCGCCACGUUAUGUGCAGGCUGGCAGGGAGCGAUCGGCACCUGGGAGGACGCAACCAAAGACCUGAGGGGCAGAUUUGGCUGGGGCUUGGAUGCCCAAAUAAAGGUUCAACUUUUAGGCCACUGAAGUCUCCCGCACCCUGGUGGCUAGGGAAUUUUGAAUGGUGUGACUUGCCACAGGGCUCCACGGGCUAAAUCUGCUUCUUUUUAUGAAAGCACGGCAGCCACUUGUGGGCUAAUGAAGUCUUGGGGCGCCAACGGUAUCGUUGAUCUGCAUCACUGCUGCUUUGAAAUUUGAGAGAGGUGUGAUCUCAGCAGAUUUCAUGAGAUGUGCUGGAUUGCAGAGGAGAUGCUCAGAAAUGCAAAGUGGGAAGAGCUGUUACUGAUGCUGGAGGCUGCAUUGCAUCCCCUCAAGCCUUACAAGUCUCUGAACACUGAUUAAUGUUGCCAGAGAACAACAGUGUUAUCGACGAUGUCAGAUGUCCCUACAACUCAGACUCCAAAUGGCAGCUGUGUGGGGCUUUUGAUUCUCUGUCUUGAGAUAUAUAGAUUCUUUUGGAUUUUAAGCAUCUUAAAUCUUUGGGGGUGGGGAAUAAGAAAAAAAGGGGUUUUGAUGUUAAUAUGGCAUUAAGCCAGUAUCACAAGAUUUAAUCCAGUCAACUACACUCCAAAGGUCAAAAAGAAGAUAACUCUAGGAGGGAGACAUCUGGAAAGGAACAGCAUGGAAAGAAACAAACAAAUGGCAUUGCAAGCCUGUUUUUAUAGCAAACAGCCAGAGUUUGGGCUAUUGUUACAAAAAGAUUGUGCCAGGAGGCAGACAAACGAUGCUGCACAACAGCUUUAUGUAUUCUUUACUGUGAGCUGGCUAUGGUUCUGUCCUGCUCCCCAAUACUGAGU